UGUAAAAAAAAAUUGGGGGCACUGCUUUUUGGCACCCCCAAAUCUUGGCACCCUAGGCAACCGCCUAGUUUCCCUUAAUGGUAGCACCGGCCCUUGGCCCAGGCAGUCCCUUUGCCAACCACCACCCACUUUGAGCAUUGAUGGAUGCUCAGCCCUUUUGAUCAUCAAACCCCUAUAUCCAUUAAAAUGGAGGCAGCAACUCUUCAAAAUGUGUCCCAAAGUGACUUCCACAACAUCCAGAACCAACAACAAUUUUCAAGUUUAUUCAAGAGCAGAUGGUAAUUUAAGGCUUCCAUGCCACCUCCCUGAAGUUAUUUGGCCUCUUCCUCAAGCCACACUGCAGAUUGCAGCGAUUCAACUCCCUCAACUCAUAAGACCCUCUUGAUCCUUCCAGCUCUGAGAGAAUCCACUGGAAGCCAGGAAAGCACAGGAGCUCUUUGCCUCUCCAGUGCCACCCAGCCCUUGAUCUUCCUGUACCGAUUGACAGCUCAACUCUGACUAUCAAGGGUGCUCCACCACCAGUGCCCCCUGGUCCU